UACGUAGGGUGCAAGCGUUGUCCGGAAUUAUUGGGCGUAAAGGGCUCGUAGGCGGUCCAUCGCGUCGGGAGUGAAAAGCUGGGGCUUAACCCCAGUCCUGCUUCCGAUACGGGUGGACUAGAGGUAGGUAGGGGAGAACGGAAUUCCUGGUGUAGCGGUGAAAUGCGCAGAUAUCAGGAGGAACACCGGUGGCGAAGGCGGUUCUCUGGGCCUUACCUGACGCUGGAGGAGCGAAAGCGUGGGGAGCGAACAGG
rnacentral:rRNA from 1 species